UACUCUUGGCAUUUGAUCACUUGGCUCUUGCAUCAAUGGAGGAUGCAGCUAGCUGCUAGAAAUAUUGCAGAACACAUUGAUUCUCAACACUUUGAACGCACCUUGUGGCCCUGGGUCCUUCCCUGGGCCACGCCUGCGUGAGGGUCG
rnacentral:rRNA from 1 species